UGGGGAAUAUUGCACAAUGGGCGCAAGCCUGAUGCAGCCAUGCCGCGUGUAUGAAGAAGGCCUUCGGGUUGUAAAGUACUUUCAGCGAGGAGGAAGGCGGUAAGGUUAAUAACCUUAUCGAUUGACGUUACUAGCAGAAGAAGCACGGGCUAACUCCGUGCCAGCAGCCGCGGUAAUACGGAGGGUGCAAGCGUUAAUCGGAAUUACUGGGCGUAAAGCGCACGCAGGCGGUCUGUCAAGUCGGAUGUGAAAUCCCCGGGCUCAACCUGGGAACUGCAUUCGAAACUGGCAGGCUAGAGUCUUGUAGAGGGGGGUAGAAUUCCAGGUGUAGCGGUGAAAUGCGUAGAGAUCUGGAGGAAUACCGGUGGCGAAGGCGGCCCCCUGGACAAAGACUGACGCUCAGGUGCGAAAGCGUGGGGAGCAAACA
rnacentral:rRNA from 1 species